AUUGAACGCUGGCGGCAUGCCUUACACAUGCAAGUCGAACGGCAGCACGGGAGUAAUCCUGGUGGCGAGUGGCGAACGGGUGAGUAAAGCAUCGGAACGUGCCCAGUCGUGGGGGAUAACGUAGCGAAAGCUACGCUAAUACCGCAUACGAUCUGUGGAUGAAAGCGGGGGACCGUAAGGCCUCGCGCGAUUGGAGCGGCCGAUGUCAGAUUAGGUAGUUGGUGAGGUAAAGGCUCACCAAGCCGACGAUCUGUAGCUGGUCUGAGAGGACGACCAGCCACACUGGGACUGAGACACGGCCCAGACUCCUACGGGAGGCAGCAGUGGGGAAUUGUGGACAAUGGGCGCAAGCCUGAUCCAGCAAUGCCGCGUGCAGGAUGAAGGCCGUCGGGUUGUAACUGCUUUUGUACGGAGCGAAAAGGCUUCCACUAAUACUGGGGGCUCAGGACGGUACCGUAAGAAUAAGCACCGGCUAACUACGU
rnacentral:rRNA from 1 species